UUAGCAACUAUAAACUGCUUUAUAAUGGCUGGUCGUAGUUCUGCUAGAGGGUCAAGGACCCUUAGUGUUUCCACACCACUUAGCAUAAACAUAUGCUGACCUUUCUGCUCUGCAUCUAUCGAUUGAGUAAGUUACAUUCAUAUAUGUUACCCGUUUACAUGGCAAAACAUUCAACCUCAGUGACACAAGGGUACAUCUGAUGAUACAUUGUCAACAUUGCAUGUAUGUCAGACUCAUCCAAGAUUGUCUGGUGGAAUGGAGAAAGAGGCACCACUGUACAGUUUUCUAGGGAAACCAAAACACUGCUUUACAUAAAGCAUAUUAGCUGUUUAAAAGUCCCAACCAUUUCUCUUCCUAAAAUACUGGUCCUCGUAUGUGAUUGGAGGACCCUUAGACUCCUUGUCCAAUCACGUGUGAGGUUAUAGGCAUGACUCAGACAGCAGUACUUGCAAGACGAGCAUGUUACUAUAUUCAGAAGAACUGUAUCUCCAGUUCCUUUGUUUGUUUUUUGCUGGUUCGUGAAUAAUGGCUGGACGACGUCUCGCGUUCAACUCGCCUUCAACUCCUCUCCGCGGUCAGCAACUUUCGGCCAGUCCGCAGACAGACGAGAAGAAACUGCUGAAUGCUCUCAGUGGAUUGUCUCGUCAACUCCAACAACAAACUGCCGAUAUCAACGAGCGGUUCGCUCCCCUUGACCGUUCGGGACUCUCCAGGUUGCUGUCCAUAGAGGAGAGGUUGGCGGCUCUGGAGGAACUGACUCAAUGAAGAGGAGACGGGCGCACAAUCCCAAGAUAGCGUUUAUGGGAAGCGGUGCGACGUCUUCACAACUUCGAGACAAAUUAUAGGCGCUACGAACCAGAGCAAGGCCGCCUGUAAGACGUAUUUUGAGACGGUACGCAGGAGCUUCAGGUUUUGC
ensembl:lncRNA